rnacentral:rRNA from 1 species
GAUAAACGCUGGCGGCGCACAUAAGACAUGCAAGUCGAACGGACUUAACCUAUAGUUUACUAUUGGAGCGGUUAGUGGCGGACUGGUGAGUAACACGUAAGCAACCUGCCUAUUAGAGGGGAACAACAGUUAGAAAUGACUGCUAAUACCGCAUAUGCCAUAAUCAUCACAUGAUGAUAGUGGGAAAGGAGCAAUCCGCUAAUAGAUGGGCUUGCGUCUGAUUAGAUAGUUGGUGGGGUAACGGCCUACCAAGUCGACGAUCAGUAGCCGAGUUGAGAGACUCUACGGCCACAUUGGGACUGAGAUACGGCCCAGACUCCUACGGGAGGCAGCAGUCGGGAAUAUUGCGCAAUGGAGGAAACUCUGACGCAGUGACGCCGCGUGCAGGAAGAAGGUUUUCGGAUUGUAAACUGCUUUAGACAGGGAAGAAACAAGACAGUACCUGUAGAAUAAGCUCCGGCUAACUACGUGCCAGCAGCCGACGG